rnacentral:lncRNA from 1 species
AAAAACCUCCGGGCAGCAAACGUGGGACAACGUCGCAAAGGUAAAGAAGAUGGAGCAGAAGCGAUUUGAGGAGCGUGGCCUCUGACCCGGGUGGUGUCAGCGUUCCAGGUCUCUGCAAGUAGGGCGGCCCUGGCCCCAGGCGCAGCGAUGGCUCCGGCCUGUCAUUAAGUCAUGCGACUCAUGAUGUGAUACACGUCCUUGUGUCUCUGGGACGGGCUGUGCCCGUGGGGCGAGAGGGGAGGCAGAGGGAAAGGUGAGAGGGUGAUAUGAGGGGGACCCAUGGGCGUGGUCGGGGGCGGGGUCUGAUGGGGGCAGGGGCGUGUAAGAAGUCUGCUGAGCCAGAAGAAGCCGGACAAGUCAACCUCUGGGGCACAAACGCAGCUGCCACGGCCACGGGCUCACGAGACAGAUGUGGGUGCUGUGGAACAUGAGCCACGGAGGCAGGGGCGAGGGGGCUCCUCCCAGGGCAGCAGCCAGGCUGGCCAUCCUGUGAGGAUGGCCCCUGUGGGCUGUGGGCACCAAGUUCAGUGUGAAAGGCCUGGAAGAGCGUGGCCCAGUGGCCCUGGGGGCAAAGGCUGGUUUAUUUCAAGGAGUGGGUUUGCAGCAAAGGGACUGGAUAGAUGGUAGAAAAAGGUGGGUCUUAGAGUUGAUGGCACAACCCCAAGGCGGUGGCCAGAUGGAGGCACAGAUGCUGGUGGGCCCGCUAACACAGCGGGAAGGACUGCACUUCCUUCCCAGGGAAGGGUGUGGCACCUGCCAGGGACGGGUGGCCUGUGGGUGACCCCCUACCUGGGGAAGAGGUGAGUGACAUCGUGGAGCCGUGAAUGUGCAUUUUCAGAAGCCACGAGGCCAGGUGCUCAGGGAGGACGAGCUUGCGAUCCCCUGCUGCCGGGGGCAGGGGACUGGGAGUUCCUCCAACAUAGAUAGUCUCAGAGUAAGUGAGUGUGUGUGUGUGUGUGUGUGUGUGCACGCACCUGUGUGCAGGUGCGCAUGUGGGCAAGGGUGUUUCGGGGCCAUGAUGGGCUGGGGAGAAGGGCCAGAGACAGCCUGAGUGGAGGUGAGGACACAACAUCACUUCUUAGGAAACAGGUUCCAGGCAUCAGUGACCCACAUUUGGCUCCUGCUAAGGUACCCUUGGCAGGUGCUGCGUUUCUAACAAAGUAAAACAAGACAUGCCCUGCCGGGUAAGAGAGAGAGCCACACGGGCUGGCGGCCUAAACAUCCGAGAUUUACUUCUGACACUGGGGAGGCUGGAAGGCAGAGAUCCUGUUCUGAAGGGCUCUGCUUCUGGGAGAGCGCCUCUCCCUGGCUUGUGGGUGGCCACCUUCUUGCUCUGGGGUCACAGGCCCUCUUUUUUGUCUUCGGUUCUGGGUGGGAGGUUGUGGGGGGACAGGAAGUGCUCUGGGUCUUUCCUUAAAAGGAGGCUGAUGCUGCUGGAAAAGGGCCCCACCCUUAUGAGCUCACUGAACCUGAAUGUAUCUCCUCAGAGCCUCUCUCCUCACAUGUGGCCACAAUGAAGCUGGGCCUCAACCUAAGAAUUCUGGAGGACAUAUUCGGUCCAAGGCGACAGCUGGUUUCAAGUGAAGUGGGUUCCGGCUGGCAGGCUAAGCGGUCGCUUAGGCAGGGUCCGGACCCGACGGGUCAGCACGCGGAGGUGACGCCUUCCCUGGCAGGCGCCGCAGCGCACAGAGCCUGCGCCCCCUCGGCCCCGGCCGGCGGUGCGUGUCGCCGCACGCACAUCUCCUGCGAGAGCAAGCGCGGGCAGGGCUGGUCCUCCGCGGACCCUGCGCAUCCCGGCGCUGCGGGAGGGCGGUCCGAGCGCGAGAUGCGCCUGGAGAGCCUCGUGAACCGUCCUGGACGCGUGGUCCCUGCUACCUGAAUCGACUGGGUGGACAGAACCUAGAGCCAGUAGUUGGCGGCUACUUGUCCCCUUUCGGGGCAGCGUCGGCACAUCUCCCGUCCCCAGCAGCCAUUUCAUUUCCGCCGACUUCCAGGCGCGGAGGGCAGGCACCGACCCCAGCGUGCCUGCUGCCCUGAGCCCUCCGGUCCGGCGGCCCGGCGCGGGUCACACAGGGCCACGCGAUCCCACCGCAACCCCUGCGGGAAAGCAAGGGGGUCCAGCCCCAGCAGAGCGCGGCCCCUUUAAGACGCGACCGAGGCGCCGGGCCUUGCAGUCAAAGGGCUGCGGGAAGAGUCAGUGCGCAGCCGCGGC